rnacentral:ribozyme from 1 species
UCCCCCCAAUCUACGUGCUACCUCACCGCGGUGGGGGGAGUGGCAACAUCCCCAAACGGGGAUGGCUAAAUGCGCGU